CAGUCGUGCUGGCGCGAAAUCAACCUUCUCAUCGAGAGAUCACAUGGCGUGGCGAGCCUCAAAACCGUCACGAAGCGUGAACUCUUGGUGAAAUGGAGCACUUUCGUGUCCGCUGGUUAACAUCAAUUUCGAACGUCAUAAAAAGGCUGGAGGGAUGUGGCUCCUUCGGGAGUGUUAUAGCCCUUGGUAGAUGUGAUGUCUGGGAUCGAGGAUUGCAACGGAUACCCUUCGGGGCUAGCCGCCUGAUCUCUA
rnacentral:rRNA from 1 species